rnacentral:lncRNA from 1 species
ACCAAACAGGGCUUAAUAAUUAUUUUAGCUGGUUCGUCAAAAGUAAAGGUAAUAAAUAUAAAAUAUUGGAUUUGUCUAAUUUUUCUCAAGGGUUUCUUCCUUCGGUAUUACACAAAAAUUGGGCCUGAAGGAGAGGCCGAAAGGGAGACAAUUCAUCACCCCUUUGGCACCAAUUUACCUUGUGUUGCAGUGAUUUCUACUCGACAUCUUCACCACUGAGCUUGGAAGGUAGUAUCGGAUUUUAUUAGUUUAAAAACGGGCUUUAUAAGUUGAAAUCUCACUCGAUCGGAUUGCAUUGAAUGGUUUAACUUCAACUCAACUCCUUAAAAUUUAUUUGUUCCAAAAUUGUUGUUUCUUGAUGGUAGCAACAGUGAUUUUGAUGUGGUUGUUCAUGGUUUUCUCCUUGCCCUUAAAACUAGUCUCCCCUCAAGUGUAAUAGGUGAAAUACCCAGGUGGAUGCACCCCUGAUUUGGAGGUCUUGUUAUCUGAAUCUUUAGAAAUUGAAGUACUUGAAUUAAGAUUAUAUGCGUGAGGCUGUAGAUUGAUCAAAGGCAACAAAACAGUAGGUCUACUUGGUUUCCAGAUAAAUGGAUUGUUGGAUUUUUUUGGGAUUAAAAUCCCGAGUCUAGAUCAGUACACUCGCGAUUUUAAAUUUUCCUCCUUAAAGAGAACUGCUGGGUGUAUUUAGUUAUCAUCAGUGGUUAAUCGUUCAUGUAUAUUUUUGAAUUGGGGCUGUUUCGGUAUUAACAUUUCCUUUGGUGUUCGAAUGGAAUAUGUAUGGAUUCUUUAAUUUCGAAACUAUUCUUUAGGUAUUAACACUUGCUUUGGUGCUUGAAUGAGUGAGGAUGGCAGUGCUAUGAUUUUUUCUUAUCUAUCUCGCCCCUUAAAAAGUUCAUUUUACUAUGCAAUAGGUGAUCAAAUGUUGGCUUAUUGUUGAAGUUGAGUUUGAGAAGUGAAAUGAAUCCUCUCUAAUGGUUUUUUUCUAUGUUGCAGCUUAAAGAUACAAUACAUCAUGGUGAAUGCCAUCAGAGGAUUGUACAUUUCAUGGUAAAUUACUAUUUGGUGACGAAAUUCUUUAUUGUGUUAAUUUUCCAACUAUUGUGGCAUUUGAUUUUCAAUUUCUGCGACCCCUACCCUCACAAAAAAUGGGACUUCCACAAAACCCUCUUCAUUUUUUCUGUUGGGAAGACACAUGUUGAGGCGUCAUUUCCAAAAUGAUCCUCGACUCCGUUGCACUUGCUUUUUGAUAGCGAGUGUGGAUUAGCUGCACCACAUAUGAUAUAUAUGAAUGAUAUGUUGAGCCUCUGUUAACCAACUCUUAAGUUGGUCUUCGCAACUCAAGAAUUUUGCUGUUUUUCCUCUAUUUCUACACUGUACUUGAAAUCAAAAUAGUUGAAACAGAUAGCAGAUUUUGAAACAAGACAGUCUUCAAAUGUAUUUUACUAAUUAAUGUUGUUUUCUGGAUUUUGUACCAGCAUUACUGUGUUUGUUGAAUCUGACUGAUUAAGUACACACUGUCAUCAGUCUAACCACGUUUAGUGUGAAAUUCAUGAUAUCGCAAAGCAUCCACUUCGUGCUUUCUGUCAAUAGCUAUCAUCUAAUAGGAUAUGCUUUAUCUUUCUUAUACAGUGACAUACCUAUGGCACAAUUUAUCAUCAACAUGAAUGCUGCACUGCCUCAAGCAGAUAAGUUCAUUAUUCAAGUAUUGGAUAACACUCAUCUUUUUGUGCGAUCAGACGUGGCUGGGAUGAUACGAAGCGCCAUUGCAUCAUUCAGAGAGCAAAAUACCUAUGAGAAGCCUUCUUAAUCUGUGUAAGGAUCAUUGCUGCAUUCCUAACGUAAUGAUGCCCAUGCUUUUCAAGUAUGUACAAUCUUGUUUGUUUAUUUGGACCUAAAUUUUACGAACUAAACCUACAUUGAGGCCAAGUAUUGCUAUUUCUAUUCUAAUUUUGAGUACAGUUCUUGAAAAAAAUUGAACUUCACAGGGUUGGUGUGCGUUUGUUUUGCUAUUUCACAGAGUGCGUACGGAUCUUAAUAUAAGCUGAAUUAUGACUUAUUUGAUCCGAUUUUUUGGUGGUAUUAGACCCCACUAGGUUUCACGGACCGUAGGUUUGGCUCUCGAGGUUUCAUGCCACAAAGUAGCCUUCCCCUCAUUUUUAGGUCGGCAAGCCUGAAAAACUGGCACAAACUCACGCCAUGAGUAGGAUGUUCCUGCAUAUGAUUAUAUCAGUAGUGUACUUAUGUGAAAUACAACACAGGAAAAUGAAAGUAAAAUACAAAUUUAAAGAAAUUUAAGUUCUCUUUACAAGAAUUCGUUGUGACUCACGAUAAAUUCACACUGAUAAGCGUAUCUUCUUGUAGAAUUUUAGAAACUGUUCAAGGAGAAGAUGAACCCAGUGGCGGAUCUAGGUAGUAGCGAGUUAGGACGGCCGCCCUUGCUGGAUUCGUUGAAAGCGUUUUUUUUUUUUUUUUG